rnacentral:rRNA from 1 species
GACGAACGCUGGCGGCGUGCUUAACACAUGCAAGUCGAGCGGUAAGGCCCUUUCGGGGGUACGACGAGCGGCGAACGGGUGAGUAACACGUGGGUGACCUGCCCUCAGCUCUGGGAUAAGCCCGGGAAACUGGGUCUAAUACCGGAUAUGACUUCAUGACGCAUGUUGUGGAGUGGAAAGCCUCGUGCGGCUGAGGAUGGGCCCGCGGCCUAUCAGCUUGUUGGUGGGGUGAUGGCCUACCAAGGCGACGACGGGUAGCCGGCCUGAGAGGGCGACCGGCCACACUGGGACUGAGAUACGGCCCAGACUCCUACGGGAGGCAGCAGUGGGGAAUCUUGCGCAAUGGGCGAAAGCCUGACGCAGCGACGCCGCGUGAGGGAUGACGGCCU